AGAGUUUGAUCCUGGCUCAGGAUGAACGCUGACAGAAUGCUUAACACAUGCAAGUCUACUUGAACUUCGGUUUGGGUGGCGGACGGGUGAGUAACGCGUAAAGAACUUGCCUCACAGUUAGGGACAACAUUUGGAAACGAAUGCUAAUACCUGAUAUUAUGAUUUUAGGGCAUCCUAAGAUUAUGAAAGCUAUAUGCACUGUGAGAGAGCUUUGCGUCCCAUUAGCUAGUUGGAGAGGUAACGGCUCACCAAGGCGAUGAUGGGUAGCCGGCCUGAGAGGGUGAACGGCCACAAGGGGACUGAGACACGGCCCUUACUCCUACGGGAGGCAGCAGUGGGGAAUAUUGGACAAUGGACCAAAAGUCUGAUCCAGCAAUUCUGUGUGCACGAUGACGUUUUUCGGAAUGUAAAGUGCUUUCAGUUGGGAAGAAAAAAAUGACGGUACCAACAGAAGAAGUGACGGCUAAAUACGUGCCAGCAGCCGCGGUAAUACGUAUGUCACAAGCGUUAUCCGGAUUUAUUGGGCGUAAAGCGCGUCUAGGUGGUUAUGUAAGUCUGAUGUGAAAAUGCAGGGCUCAACUCUGUAUUGCGUUGGAAACUGCAUGACUAGAGUACUGGAGAGGUAAGCGGAACUACAAGUGUAGAGGUGAAAUUCGUAGAUAUUUGUAGGAAUGCCGAUGGGGAAGCCAGCUUACUGGACAGAUACUGACGCUAAAGCGCGAAAGCGUGGGUAGCAAACAGGAUUAGAUACCCUGGUAGUCCACGCCGUAAACGAUGAUUACUAGGUGUUGGGGGUCGAACCUCAGCGCCCAAGCUAACGCGAUAAGUAAUCCGCCUGGGGAGUACGUACGCAAGUAUGAAACUCAAAGGAAUUGACGGGGACCCGCACAAGCGGUGGAGCAUGUGGUUUAAUUCGACGCAACGCGAGGAACCUUACCAGCGUUUGACAUCUUAGGAAUGAGACAGAGAUGUUUCAGUGUCCCUUCGGGGAAACCUAAAGACAGGUGGUGCAUGGCUGUCGUCAGCUCGUGUCGUGAGAUGUUGGGUUAAGUCCCGCAACGAGCGCAACCC
rnacentral:rRNA from 1 species